rnacentral:rRNA from 1 species
AACGCUGGCGGCGUGCUUAACACAUGCAAGUCGAACGGUAAGGCCCUUCGGGGUACACGAGUGGCGAACGGGUGAGUAACACGUGGGUGAUCUGCCCUGCACUUCGGGAUAAGCUUGGGAAACUGGGUCUAAUACCGGAUAGGACCACGGUCUGCAUGGAUUGUGGUGGAAAGCUUUUGCGGUGUGGGAUGGGCCCGCGGCCUAUCAGCUUGUUGGUGGGGUGAUGGCCUACCAAGGCGACGACGGGUAGCCGGCCUGAGAGGGGUGUCCGGCCACACUGGGACUGAGAUACGGCCCAGACUCCUACGGGAGGCAGCAGUGGGGAAUAUUGCACAAUGGGCGCAAGCCCUGAUGCAGCGACGCCGCGUGGGGGAUGACGGCCUUCGGGUUGUAAACCUCUUUCAGUAGGGACGAAGCGUAAGUGACGGUACCUAUAGAAGAAGCACCGGCCAACUACGUG